rnacentral:rRNA from 1 species
GAUGAACGCUGGCGGCGUGCCUAAUACAUGCAAGUCGAGCGAACAGACGAGGAGCUUGCUCCUCUGACGUUAGCGGCGGACGGGUGAGUAACACGUGGAUAACCUCCCUAUCAGACUGGGAUAACUUCGGGACACCGGCGCUAAUACCGGAUAAUAUAUUGAACCGCAUGGUUCAAUAGUGAAAGACGGUUUUGCUGUCACUUAUAGAUGGAUCCGCGCCGCAUUAGCUAGUUGGUAAGGUAACGGCUUACCAAGGCAACGAUGCGUAGCCGACCUGAGAGGGGGAUCGGCCACACGAGAGGGGAGACACGGACCAGACUCCUAAGGGAGGCAGCAGUAGGGAAUCUUACGCAAUGGGCGAAAGCAUGGCGGAGCAACGGCGCGUGAGUGAUAGAGGUCUUCGGAGCGUAAAACUCUGUUAUGAGGGAAGAACAAAUGUGGAAGGAACUAAACACGUCUUGACGGUAACUAAUCAGAAAGCCACGGCUAACUACGUG